GAUUUUAUACGAGAGAGAAUGUUGGCAUGAGUAGCGAGAGGCAGGUGAGAAUCCUGCCCACCGAAAAUCUAAGGUUUCCUGAGGAAGGUUCGUCCACUCAGGGUUAGUCGGGACCUAAGCCGAGGACGAGAGUCGUAGGCGAUGGACAACUGGUUGAGAUUCCAGUACCACCGAAAGUCGUUUGAGUGAAGUGGGGACACAGAAGGAUAGACAGAGCACGCCGUUGGUAGAGCGUGUCCAAGCAGUGAGGCUUGUGCGUAGGCAAAUCCGCGCACUUUAAGGCUAGGCUGUGAUGGGGAGGGAAAAAAGUACCGGAAGCUGUUGAUUUCACACUGUCAAGAAAAGCCGCUAGCGAGACCGUAGGUGCCCGUACCGCAAACCGACACAGGUAGAUGAGGAGAGAAUCCUAAGGUGAGCGAGAGAACUAUUGUUAAGGAACUCGGCAAAAUUACCCCGUAACUUCGGGAGAAGGGGUGCCAUCGAAAGAUGGCCGCAGUGAAAAGGCCCAGGCGACUGUUUAGCAAAAACACAGGUCUCUGCUAAAGCGAAAGCUGAAGUAUAGGGGCUGACGCCUGCCCGGUGCUGGAAGGUUAAGGGGACUGCUUAGAGCAAUCGAAGGCAUGAACUUAAGCCCCAGUAAACGGCGGCCGUAACGAUAACGGUCCUAAGGUAGCGAAAUUCCUUGUCAGGUAAGUUCUGACCCGCACGAAAGGCGUAACGAUCUGGGCGCUGUCUCAACAAUAGACUCGGUGAAAUUGUAGUACCGGUAAAGAUGCCGGUUACCCGCAGCAGGACGGAAAGACCCCGUGGAGCUUUACUGCAGCUUGAUAUUGGAUUUCGGCAUUGCAUGUACAGGAUAGGUGGGAGACUGCGAACUCAGUACGCCAGUAUUGAGGGAGUCACCGUUGGGAUACCACCCUUGUAAUGUUGAGGUUCUAACUUUGUACCGUGACCCGGUAUGAGGACAGUGUCUGGCGGGCAGUUUGACUGGGGCGGUCGCCUCCUAAAGAGUAACGGAGGCGCCCAAAGGUUCCCUCAGUGCGGACGGAAAUCGCACGAAGAGUGUAAAGGCAGAAGGGAGCUUGACUGCGAGACAAACAGGUCGAGCAGGGACGAAAGUCGGGCUUAGUGAUCCGGUGGUACCGAGUGGAAGGGCCAUCGCUCAACGGAUAAAAGCUACCCCGGGGAUAACAGGCUGAUAC
rnacentral:rRNA from 1 species